rnacentral:rRNA from 1 species
UACGUAGGGGGCUAGCGGUGUUCGGAUUUACUGGGCGUAAAGCGCGUGCAGGCGGACUGUUAAGAAGGGGGUGAAAUCCCGAGGCUCAACCUCGGAACUGCCUUCAAAACUGGCGGUCUAGAGUGAAGGAGAGGCGGGUGGAAUUCCGAGUGGAGCGGUGAAAUUCGUAGAUAUUCGGAGGAACACCGGUGGCGAAGGCGGCUCGCUGGCCUGAUACUGACGCUGAGACGCGAAAGCGUGGGGAGCAAACAGG